rnacentral:rRNA from 1 species
UACAGAGGUCUCAAGCGUUGUUCGGAAUCACUGGGCGUAAAGGGUGCGUAGGCCGCACGGUAAGUCAGAGGUGAAAUCCCGGAGCUCAACUCCGGAAUGGCCUCCGAUACUGCCGUGCUCGAGGACUGGAGAGGAGUCUGGAAUUCGCAGUGGAGCAGUGAAAUGCGUAGAUAUUGUGAGGAACACUAGUGGCGAAGGCGAGACUCUGGACAGUUCCUGACGCUGAGGCACGAAGGCCAGGGGAGCAAACGCG